AAGGACUUUUAAUUGCAGCUGCAUUGUUGAAUAUAUUAAGAAUGAUGCGGUAAACCGGAGAGGGAGUCAUCAGCUUAUGGAUGUGUUAACACAUCCAAUGUGUUGUAAUCUUUUCGCUAAUUAAACAUGUUAAGACAUCAAUUCUAAAAAAAACUUGGUCUGCUACUUUACUUAUGUGAUGUUGGUUUACUCCAACGAUAAUGCCUAGCUAGGAUAGCCUUUCUUUAUGUCUUAAUUAUUGAUAGUGCUAUCAUCAUGGCAAGCUAUGUUGGAGUAAAAACUGUGCAGGCAAAGACAUAAGAGUGAUGGAUUUUGGAAUGAAAUGCAGAGGAUAUCAUUUUGUGCUGCUUAAGUAAAAGUUUCAUCUUCUGUUAUAUUUGUGUGUUUGAUAUUGUAGAAAAUUAAUAUAAGUUGUAUAUUCAUGAUAACUGACCGAUUAAGAUUACUUACAAUGCGAAUGAGAGCUAAACAUGAGGGUGCUGUUGGUUUACCUUGCCUGGAUGUGUUGCAGGUGCGGGGUUGUUCAAGAAAAAAGGUUUUAAAGGAUCAUUUGCAAAUGCAGGAUCUUCUGCUAAGGUAUGGGAAUUCCUAUUAUUAAAUGAUAGCAUGGCAAUCUGAGUGUAAUUAGUUUAGUUUUUUUGUGAAAUGCUAUUUACAAUGUUAGAAUGUUUCUUUGAAUUCAGUUCUAAAGGUUUCUUUUUAUAUUUCCCUUUUUGGACAUUUGUAGUUUUGUCCGGAGUGC
rnacentral:lncRNA from 1 species